rnacentral:rRNA from 1 species
GGAGUUAGCCGGUGCUUCUUCUGCGAGUAACGUCACAGAUGUAAGGUAUUAACUUACACCCUUUCCUCCUCGCUGAAAGUGCUUUACAACCCGAAGGCCUUCUUCACACACGCGGCAUGGCUGCAUCAGGGUUUCCCCCAUUGUGCAAUAUUCCCCACUGCUGCCUCCCGUAGGAGUCUGGGCCGUGUCUCAGUCCCAGUGUGGCUGAUCAUCCUCUCAGACCAUCUAGGGAUCGUCGCCUAGGUGAGCCUUUACCUCACCUACUAGCUAAUCCCACCUGGGCUUAUCCAUCAGCGCAAGGCCCGAAGGUCCCCUGCUUUCCCCCGUAGGGCGUAUGCGGUAUUAGCAGUCGUUUCCAACUGUUAUCCCCCACAAAUGGGCAAAUUCCCAGGCAUUACUCACCCGUCCGCCGCUCGUCAUCUUCAAAAGCAAGCUUUUGAAAUGUUACCGCUCGACUUGCAUGUGUUAGGCCUGCCGCCACGCGUCAUCUGAGCAUAAUACAACUACUGA